GAUGAACGCUGGCGGCGUGCCUAAUACAUGCAAGUCGAGCGAACGGACGAGAAGCUUGCUUCUCUGAUGUUAGCGGCGGACGGGUGAGUAACACGUGGAUAACCUACCUAUAAGACUGGGAUAACUUCGGGAAACCGUAGCUAAUACCGGAUAAUAUUUUGAACCGCAUGGUUCAAAAGUGAAAGACGGUCUUGCUUUCACUUAUAGAUGGAUCCGCGCUGCAUUAGCUAGUUGGUAAGGUAACGGCUUACCAAGGCGACGAUGCAUAGCCGACCUGAGAGGGUGAUCGGCCACACUGGAACUGAGACACGGUCCAGACUCCUACGGGAGGCAGCAGUAGGGAAUCUUCCGCAAUGGGCGAAAGCGUGACGGAGCAACGCCGCGUGAGUGAUGAAGGUCUUCGGAUCGUAAAACUCUGUUAUGAGGGAAGAACAUAUGUGUAAGUAACUGUGCACAUCUUGACGGAACCUAAUCAGAAAGCCACGGCUAACUACGUG
rnacentral:rRNA from 1 species